rnacentral:tRNA from 1 species
CCGCCAUUAGCUCAACGAGGCAGAGCAUUGCUUUGUGACAGGAAGUAAGGGCCGGGGUUCGAGGCCCCGAUGGCGGUCCA